rnacentral:rRNA from 1 species
UACGUAGGGGGCAAGCGUUGUCCGGAUUUAUUGGGCGUAAAGAGCUCGUAGGUGGUUCGGUAAGUCGGAUGUGAAAAUCUCCAGGCUCAACCUGGAGGGGUCAUUCGAUACUGCCGUGACUAGAGGUCGGUAGGGGAGUGUGGAAUUCCUGGUGGAGCGGUGAAAUGCGCAGAUAUCAGGAGGAACACCCGUAGCGAAGGCGGCACUCUGGGCCGAUACUGACACUGAGGAGCGAAAGCGUGGGGAGCGAACAGG